rnacentral:rRNA from 1 species
CGCCCUUAGAGUUUGAUCAUGGCUCAGGACGAACGCUGGCGGCGUGCCUAAUACAUGCAAGUCGAACGCUCGAGUGCUUGCACUCAAGAGUGGCGGACGGGUGAGUAACACGUGGGUAACCUGCCCAUCAGAGGAGGAUAACACUUGGAAACAGGUGCUAAUACCGCAUAAUAGUCAACCGCAUGGUUUGGUUGAAAGACGUUCGUGUCGCUGAUGGAUGGACCCGCGGUGCAUUAGCUAGUUGGUGAGGUAACGGCUCACCAAGGCCAUGAUGCAUAGCCGACCUGAGAGGGUGAUCGGCCACACUGGGACUGAGACACGGCCCAGACUCCUACGGGAGGCAGCAGUAGGGAAUCUUCGGCAAUGGACGAAAGUCUGACCGAGCAACGCCGCGUGAGUGAAGAAGGUUUUCGGAUCGUAAAACUCUGUUGUUAGAGAAGAAUAAGUGGGAGGUAACUCUCACCUUGACGGUAUCUAACCAGAAAGCCACGGCUAACUACGUGCCAGCAGCCGCGGUAAUACGUAGUGGCAAGCGUUGUCCGGAUUUAUUGGGCGUAAAGCGAGCGCAGCGGUUUCUUAAGUCUGAUGUGAAAGCCCCCGGCUCAACCGGGGAGGGGCAUUGGAAACUGGGAGACUUGAGUGCA